rnacentral:pre_miRNA from 1 species
UAUAAUACAUGUGAGAAUUGUUAUCUGGCUGCCUACAUAUAAUAUAGGUCAUAUUGGUGCUAAUCUGGUGGAACAAAGCACCAAUAUGACCUAUAUUAUAUGUAGGCAGCCAGAUAACAAUAUGACCU